GAUGAACGCUGGCGGCGUGCCUAAUACAUGCAAGUCGAACGGAGAAUGUAGCAAUACGUUCUUAGUGGCGAACGGGUGAGUAACGCGUUGGUGACCUGCCCCGAAGUGCGGGAUAACAGUCCGAAAGGAUUGCUAAUACCGCAUGUGAUCACCGGAAUUAGAAACCGGUGAUUAAAGGAGUAAUUCGCUUUGGGAGGGACCUGCGUCCCAUCAGCUAGUUGGUAAGGUAACGGCCUACCAAGGCUAUGACGGGUAGGGGACCUGAGAGGGUGGACCCCCACAAUGGCACUGAAACACGGGCCAUACACCUACGGGUGGCAGCAGUAGGGAAUAUUGGUUAAUCUACGAAAGUGGGAACCAGCAACGCCGCGUGUGCGAUGAAGGCCUUCGGGUCGUAAAGCACUUUUUACAGGGACGAGGAAGGACGGUACCUGUAGAAUAAGCCUCGGCUAACUACGUGCCAGCAGCCGCGGUAACACGUAGGAGGCGAGCGUUAUCCGGAUUUACUGGGCGUAAAGCGCGUGCAGGCGGUUGGGUAAGUUGGAUGUGAAAGCUCCUGGCUUAACUGGGAGAGGUCGUUCAAUACUACCUGACUUGAGAGUGGUAGAGGAAAGCGGAAUUCCGGGUGUAGUGGUGAAAUGCGUAGAUAUCCGGAGGAACACCAGUGGCGAAAGCGGCUUUCUGGACCAUUUCUGACGCUCAGACGCGAAAGCUAGGGUAGCAAACGGGAUUAGAGACCCCGGUAGUCCUAGCUGUAAACGAUGUGAACUUGGCGUCGGUGGCUUCAAAACCAUCGGUGCCGCAGCAAACGCGAUAAGUUCACCGCCUGGGGAGUACGGUCGCAAGAUUAA
rnacentral:rRNA from 1 species